rnacentral:rRNA from 1 species
UGGGGGAUAUUGCACAAUGGGGGGAACCCUGAUGCAGCGACGCCGCGUGGGUGAAGGAGUGCUUCGGCAUGUAAAGCCCUAUCGGCAGGGAAGAAGCAAGACGGUACCUGACUAAGAAGCCCCGGCUAACUACGUGCCAGCAGCCGCGGUAAUACGUAGGGGGCGAGCGUUAUCCGGAUUCACUGGGUGUAAAGGGAGCGUAGACGGCCAUGCAAGCCAGGGGUGAAAGCCCGGGGCCCAACCCCGGGACUGCCCUUGGAACUGCAUGGCUGGAGUGCGGGAGGGGCAGGCGGAAUUCCUGGUGUAGCGGUGAAAUGCGUAGAUAUCAGGAGGAACACCGGCGGCGAAGGCGGCCUGCUGGACCGCGACUGACGUUGAGGCUCGAAAGCGUGGGGAGCGAACAGG